CUGGCUCACAGUUCCGCAUGGCUGGGGAGGCCUCAGGAAGCAGAAUCUGGCAGAAAGCAAAGGGGAAGCAAGGCAUGUCUUACACGCGGCAGGGCAGAGAGACAGCAGGGGAAAUCGCCACUUUUUUUUUUUUUUUUUUUUUUUUUUUUUUUUUAAUAGAAGGUUUUCUUUUAUCUUUUGAGUAAACUGCAGAAAGAAAGAGGAAAGAGGGAAAGACAUAUUUUUUUGACCACAUGCUAUCUUUAUUAGGCCUUAUUAUUUGGUAAUUAUCCUUUUAGCUAAAUGAAUGCCUAUUUCGUAGUGACCUGUGAUCUUAUUUUGUGAUACUAAAUGUUUUAAACUUUUGAUAUUUGACAGACUUAUUUGACAGACUUUCCAAAAUCAAAACUUCAAGUUCUAAAUUCAGUCUUUUGACCUGAAACUAACUUUUUAGAUACUAGGGUUCCCUGAAGUCCAAGAGAGACAUACUAGGUUCAUUUGACAUGUUAAAAUUACACAGGAAGGUUUGUUAAAUGUAAAGUGGUGUUUUGCUUUCUUUGGGUUAUAUUUAUAUAAAUGUAUUCCAAAAUUUUAUGAGAUUCCUAAAAUCCUGAUUUAUCUUACUGUAAUGUUAUCGGUAAUAAUUAUGAUAAUUAUGUUAAAUGAUGCUUUGGUCAAUGACAGACCACAUAUACAACGGUGGUCCCAUGAGAUUAUAAUGGAGCACAUAGAGAAGCCUGAUAUAUGGUACUUGAUAUUGGCAUUGUAGAUCAAGUAGGGGAAGUUAUUGAUAUUCAUUAAUGCUGCUGGUAAAUUUGUUUUUCAUAUAUAAAUGAUCUAGGUUUGUGAAAGUAUACUCUAUGAUGUGUGCAGUAGUGAAAAAUUGCCUAAUGAUGCAUUUUUCAGAACGUAUCCCUAUUGUUAAGUGAUGCGUGACUAUAUCACAUUUUGUCCCCACUUUAUUUGCAAGUCUGCCUUAUAGUUCCCACAGGUGCCUCCUUGGUUCUAGCUUUGGUCCCUUAAUUCUUGCACUGCUAUACCUCUUGAGUCAUUUUGCUGCUUUCAUUCUCUUCCCUUUUAUGAUCAAUUAUUCUUCCUUUGUCAUUAGCCCUUCAUGAAUGUGAUAAAAGUAUGUAUCUAGAUCAUAUUAUGCCUUUGAUCAAAACUCCAGUGUGUCCCACUGUCUACUGAAUAAACUCUCAAUCCUUGAUCUGGCAUUUAAGUCCCUGCAUUCUCUCACCUCUAAUCUCAUCUCCCCUACUCCUUUGCAUGCAUCUUACAUGAGCGCAAAAUCACAUAGCCCACUAUAAAUGGAAUAUAUCCUGUAAUGGUUAAUUUUAUGUAUCAGUUUGACUGGGACAUAGGAUACCCAGAUAUCUGGUUAAAUGUUUUGUGUUUUUUUUGAGAUGGAGUCUUGCUCUGUCACCCAGGCAAUGGUGUGAUCUCUGCUUGCUGCAACCACCACCUCCUGGGCUCAAGUAAUUCUCCUGCCUCAGUCUCCCAAAUAGCUGGAAUUAUAGGCUUAUGCUGUUAUGCCCAAUUAAUUUUUGUAUUUUUAGUAGAGACAGGGUUUUACCAUGUUGGCCAAGCUGGUCUUGAACUCCUGACCUCAACUGAUCCUCCCACUUCAGCCUCCCAAAAUACUGGGAUUAUAGGUGUGAGCUGCUGCACCCCACCUGGUUAAACAUUAUUUCUAGAUAUGUCUGUAAGGAUGUUUCAGGAAGAAAUUUGUUUGAGUUGGUGAACUGAGUAAAGUGAAUUGCCUUUCCCUGUGUUAGUAAGAAUCAUCCAAACUUUGAUGGCUCUGAACAAAAAGUCAGAGGAAGAUGAAUUCUCUCUCUCUGCCUGACUACUUAAGCUAGGUCAUUAGUCUUCUCUUGCUCUCAGACUGAGGAUUAUACCAACAGCUUCCCCGGAUCUCAGCCCUGCAGGCUUGGACUGGAAUUUCCAUUACCAACAUUCCUGGGUCUCCAGCUUGCACCUAAAGGAUUGUGGGACUUCUCUAUUUUCAUAGUCACGUGAGCUUAUUCCUUAUACAAAAUUAUUCUCUCUAUAUAGAAUGAGUAUAUACUCUAAUAUGGUUUGGCUAUGUCCCCACACAAAUCUCAUCUUGAAUUGUAGCUCCCACAAUUCCCACAUGUGGGAGGGACCCAUUGUGGGAUAAUUGAAUCACAGGAGCAGUUUCCCUCAUACUCUUUCUGUGGUAGUGAACAAGUCUCAUGAGACCUGAUGGUUUUAUAAGGCGUUUCCUCUUUCACUUGACUCUCAUUCUCUCUUUGCCUGCCACCAUGUAAGCUGUUUCUUUGCUCUUCCUUUGUCUUCUGCCAUGAUUGUGAGGCCUCCCCAGCCAUGUGAAACUGUGAGUUAAUUAAACCUCUUUCCUUUAUAAAUUACCCAGUCUCUGGUAUGUCAUUAUUAAUAGUGUAAAAACAGAUGAAUAUGUACUCUUAUUGGUUCUGUUUCACUGGAAAACCCUGACUAAUAUAUAAUCUGAGUUUAUUUGCCUCAGUGCUCUUAGAAUUAAUUUUCUGCCUUUGAAAUCCUUUUCUUCCCACAUACUCCUGUCAAAAUCCAAGUUCACUUUUAAAACCCUGCUGAGAUGCCACUUCCUUCAUCGGAACAUCUUUAAUCAUUCCAACCAAAAGUGACUCCACUCUCCUGGGACCCCUAAGACACCUGCUCUGUUCUAUUUCUUGUUGUUGGAGUAAUUUCUCCAGAAGUCUCAUCUCUCCUACUCACAGUGAGUUUUUUAGAUGAAGGUACCAUAUCCUGGCUUCCCUUCUCCCCCAG
rnacentral:lncRNA from 1 species